GAUGUCAGUGUGUGGAAAGCAGUUGCGUGUGCGCCAACAAAAACAUGUCAGCGUGAAGUGUAGUUGUUUUCGAAGAUUUUUUCGAAAAGUGCAACAACAAAUACUGUAAUCUACGGUCACCGCUUUUUUCAUAAAAAAAAAAAAAAAAAAAAAAAACAAAACAAAACAAAAACAUUUAUCGAGCUGUGCUCUCUAUAUAUUCUCGAAUUUGUACACUCAUUGUACGUUCAUUAACAUUGACUUGAUUUUUCUUCGAUUUAUCAACGAACACUUUUUUCCUUUGUUGUAGAACACAAAUUGAAUCUCAUCGAAGGGGCGGAAAAGGAGUGCGCCGAGCGAAUUUGACGAGGAAGGUCCAGCAGUCGAUGCAAAGAGGCAGAAGUUGGACUCUUCCGAUAGUGUGUCGUCCAGUGAAAACGAUUUGGCUCCGAUCAUGGUUCCCCACGAGUCGUACGAAGCGUAAGUGAACGUAUUUUUUUUGUUUAAUUUAAUUGGAAAUGACUGAAAAAUCGACACUCUGAAAUUAUUGAGAAAU